rnacentral:rRNA from 1 species
GACGAACGCUGGCGGCGUGCUUAACACAUGCAAGUCGAACGGAAAGGCCCUGCUUUUGUGGGGUGCUCGAGUGGCGAACGGGUGAGUAACACGUGAGUAACCUGCCCUUGACUUUGGGAUAACUUCAGGAAACUGGGGCUAAGACCGGAUAGGAUCUCCCGCUGCAUGGUGGGGGUUGGAAAGUUUCGGCGGUUGGGGAUGGACUCGCGGCUUAUCAGCUUGUUGGUGGGGUAGUGGCUUACCAAGGCUUUGACGGGUAGCCGGCCUGGGAGGGUGACCGGCCACAUUGGGACUGAGAUACGGCCCAGACUCGAACGGGAGACAGCAGUGGGGAAUAUUGCACAAUGGGCGGAAGCCUGAUGCGGCAACGCCGCGUGCGGGAUGACGGCCUUCGGGUUGUAAACCGCUUUCGCCUAUGACGAAGCGUGAGUGACGGUAAUGGGUAAAGAAGCACCGGCUAACUACGUG